CUUCCCUUGGUCUUUGGCCUAAUGAGGCAACAAUCCCUGGAAGAAGGAAGACAGAAAAAAGACUAACUGUCUUUUGAGAAAUGAACUCUAUUUCUUCCCUCAUUUCCCAAAAUUUCUGCAUCAGAAGAAGUCUAGAGUCAAAACUUCCACUUGGGAUCAGGAUUUUCUCUGAGCCUCUUCUAGAACCAGGCGGCUAGAGAUCCAGUAAUCCACCUCCCGGGGCAGGACCAUUUCAUGCAGUUCAAACUCAGUAAGUAGCACAGGGCUGUUUGUAAAACAUCUUCUGUCCUAGAGACAGAGCAGGAGAAAAGAGGACAAGGAAUAAUUCCUGAUCUGGAGGAGGACAAGGGGAUAUUCCUAUGGAAUUCAUCACUGAGAUCAUGUCUACCACCACAGACCCUGCAGUGACCUUCACACCAGUGACCGAGUUUCUCUGUGCCCGGGUAACCAGGGACAAGGCAGCAAGGCUGAGGAGCUCAGGGUGCAGUGGAGUUUGAUAUGCUCGGCAAUUCCCUUCGGCAGAAACAAAACAAGAAGAUCCUGCUGGGGCUCCUGGGUCUCCAGAAAGUGUUCCGGCAUCAGCUGCCCCGAGCGCCUGAAGAGCACAUCACACGGCCUGUCUGUGACCUGAGGCACAAACCCUGGCUUUAAUUAACGCUGGCUGUGCCACUGCUGGCAGAUCUUUCCACAUGUUCCCACCGCAAGUGUUCACAGAUUGUCCCAUAGCAAAUCCAUGCCCAUCCACAGCAUCGUGUAUUUCCUGCUGUCCCACCAGCUGACCUUUCUAGCAUCUCCCACUCCCUCUACAGAACCUGUGCCCUUUGCCUCCCCCAAACAUCUGGGGUCACCCUGCCUUUGUUUAGGGUGUGUCCCCUCCAGGAGCACCAGGUCUGGUGUCCACCUCUGUGUUCUGCACUUUAAGUCCAUUGCCAGUGCCCAUGACUUUAGGCUGCUACCCAGAAGCCUCCUACCCUUCUGCAGGGUGCCAGCAGUGGGGCAGUACUGGUGCACAGAGGGAAUCACCCUUGAAGGUCUCGGAGGUGCCUCACAGAGCAGUGAGAGACCUCGGGCGCUGGCCCCUGUUCUCAGGCCUCGUACUGUCUCCACCACAGAGAAGUCAUCCCGUUCUGCUCCUAUGUGAUGCUGGACUAAAUUCAAUCUAGCUUGGACCAAAGCUCCCCCUGUCUGAAUGCUUCCAACCCAGGACCAGGACUGUACGUCUCACACAGGAGGCACUAGACAAAUGCCCACCCAAUCACCAAGUGAAAUAACCUCCUUUGGGUUUGGGCCUGGAAUUAGGGUAAGGGAGUCAAGGAAUCUGUUCCACAACACUGGCUGUGGCCUCCCCACUGUGUCCACUGGCCACAAAACAGGAUGACUUGCUCAAGUGAAUGCCAGGUUCCAGAGGCGCAUCUUCCUCAUAUGUACAUGUCUGUGUUUGGCGACACCGCACGGACAGCUCUCAGCUCCUGGUUCAAAUGCCAUUUGAAGUCACUGUUGAGGAUUUCAAGAGUCAGUGGCUGGAAAUGUAGGCUGAGAUGUGUUCAUUCACUCUUAAGUUUCCUCCAUUUAACAAUGAAUGUCUCCCUCUCCUUACAGACUGUACAGCAUUAUUACAGCAUUAUUACUGGCAUCUCCUGCUCCAACAUCCAUGCAGGUGGUUUCCACUCAGGUACCCAGGCAUGGGGGUGAGCCUGGGGUCCACUCAGACACAGACCCUGCCCUGGGGCUUCCACAUCCAGGACAGUGGGUGUGUGAGAUGGGCAGCCCAGCUGGGGCAGGCUGAGUGGUAGUCCAGGCGGAUUCCCGGAAGAGGCAGCUUUGGGGCCGAGUUUUCAAGUCUGCCUGCAGAGAAGGGGCAGAAUGCGCCAGUCCCCCCUCCCUGAGUUUCCAAGGGGCAGGAGACAUAUUCAUGACCUCAGAAGUGUGAGCUUCUGCUUCAGGUUGUCCUGUAGUGGAAAAACCUCUGGAUAAGAGGAGAGAGGCCUCCUCCAAAGUCUGGAUCAGAAAACUGCUGGUCCUUCAUCCUCAGAUGUGUGGCUUGCAGUUCCCCACCUGAAAAAGGCUUUAGGAAUUGCUUUGGGAUGGGUGGUGCAGGGAUGCCCAGGUCUGGCACAUAAGGGAGGAGGUGGCCUGUUCUCCCACUUCCUCUAAGGCCUCCCUCAGACCCCGACAACCGGGAAGGGGGCUGAGGGUCUAUGACAUCAGGAAUCCAGGAUCCUUCGAGCAGGCACAGGCUGCUGACUGAAGACUGUCACUUGCCAUCCCUACCUGUCCAAGCACAGAGACCUUCCUCCAAACCACCAGCUGCAGGCGUCACGCACACCUUAAACAUCAGUUACAGUCUUGGAUCUGAGGGCAUGGCUGGGGCGGAGGCAGAGCCCAUUCACCACCAUUAGCAACAGGAAGAGGCUGUUUCCCAGGUUCCUGCCCAGGCCAGGUAGGUUGGAGGAUCUUCUGUGAGCCCGGGACUUAGGACUCUGCCUGUUCCCACCUCACUGAUGGGGAAGGUGACCCUCAGGAAACUCAAAGCAGCCGCCGAGAUCCCAUGGCUGGUAAGGAGUGGAGCUGCUCCUUCAGCCUCCAGCCCCCAUGCGGCUGCCCAGCUCGUCCCUCUCCUGUGCCUUUCCCUCUCCGGUGAGGUCUGUUGUCUCCCAGCAGCUUCUGGGGGUGAGCGGGACACUUGGCACCCCUCCCCUCCUCUCCCCUGCCCUUCUCCUCUGGGAAGCGAUGCCCACACUGCUGUAAGGGAAGUCCAACAGCACAGGCAAAACUCAGCCCUGUCCAACCACAUCCCAGGACAGUGUCCUUUCCCUUAAGGACACAGCAGGCAGCACUCAGGGACGCAGUGCGUAUUCUUUAUUCUACUGCAGAGGGCGGGAGUGUUUGCUAGGAACUUGCUCCUUGU
ensembl:lincRNA